AAAAAUGAAAAAUCUAAAUGUGCUACUGG
rnacentral:sRNA from 1 species